rnacentral:sRNA from 1 species
GCCUGGCGCAGUGGCGCACGCCUGUAAUCCCAGCAGCUCGGGAGGCUGAGACAAGAGGAUCAUGAGUUCUAAGCCAGCUUCAGCAAUGGUGAGCCACUAAGCAACUCAGUGAGACCCUGUCUCUA